rnacentral:rRNA from 1 species
GACAGAGGUGCCGAGCGUUAGGCGGAAUCACUGGGCUUAAAGCGUGUGUAGGCGGAUGCCUAAGUACCUUGUGAAAUCCCACGGCUUAACCGUGGAACUGCUUGGUAUACUGGGUGUCUUGAGCCACUUAGGGGCGACCGGAACAAACGGUGGAGCGGUGAAAUGCGUAGAUAUCAGAAGGAACUCCGGUGGCGAAGGCGACGUGCUGGACCUCUUCUGACGCUGAGGCGCGAAAGCUAGGGGAGCGAACGGG